GUUUUGAAGUCCUAAAUUACUAAGAAAUACAUUUGUGGAAGAAUGUCAUGCAUUCAUCUAAUACAAAACAGAAAUCUUAAAAGAAACUUUGUCAUGGAUCUAAGAAGGAACAAAUUAGGAACAGACCUAGAAUUUGAAAACAUAACACAAUAAAGACUACUCACCUGCUGCUUUCAA